GAGGGUGUAGCUCAGGGGUAGAGUGCACGCUUAGCGCUCACAGAGUCCUGGGUCCAAUCCCCAGCACCUCCA
rnacentral:tRNA from 1 species